UUCAAAUGGAGCUUCAAGCUUCAAUGCUCAGGCUGCUGCCCCCGCGACCCAACUGGGGAUAAGCAGAAUAUGGAUGAAUGGCCAUGCUGUCUGUCCAUGUGUGCAUGAGAGGAGGGGCUGUCAUGUGACUUCAUGUAAUUACAUGCACCUGCCACCAUUGUCACAAUGACACAGCAUUUUAUGUAGGGUUUGUUGAAAAACUUCAUGCCGAACAAAGUCUGAUUGUGGUCCAACGCUUCGAGAUAUCGACUUUUCGUGAAAACUGUGAGCUCCUCAAGGCUUUGAGAAAUGUUCCAGUGUUCUCAGAUUUCCGAUAAAUGGAAAAAUGGCAGAGUAGAGCGAGUAGGAAAAUGAGAAAUCUUGUGCUAUUGCUAGUAUAUUCUGUCAUGUGAUGGCCAAACCAAGCCAAGAUGGCUGUUGGACAGCAAGCAGCUCACAAACUAAGGACAAAAGAGGCUUAAAAUCUUCCCGCAAAAAGCAGAUACAAGCAAAAAAUCAAACUAUUCGAUGGAAUGGAUCCCUCUACUUUAUCAAAAAAAGAUUUGUCGAGUGAUACCAAGGAUUAGAUGUUGGUCGCCUUCCCGGACAGAUGGAAACUUGGAAAAGCAUGGACGUCUACAACUUCUUUGUGUGUGGUUGGGUCUCCUGGAGAAAUAUGCAUCGUUUUUGCUCGGGGAGGUGAGGGGAGCAGUGGGCAGCAGCGGCACCGCGCCCGGGAAUCAUUUUUGGUGAUUUAACCCCCAAUUCCAACCCUUGAUGCUGAGUGCCAAGCAGGGAAGAAUGCUGGAAAACUUCACAGACGGAAAAGCUGAACCACGAAGAGACUGAUACGGUUCCUGGG